rnacentral:misc_RNA from 1 species
UGACCAAUCACACCUAGUGUGGUAUUGGAGUUCGCUGCUACGGCGGCUCCUAAAUUCAGUGGCGGCGCCAUUAGGCUCUGAGCGUAGUAAAUUUCCUCGCUAUAGAGUUCCUGUGGACGCUGGCCAGCAACCACCAACUUCUUA